rnacentral:lncRNA from 1 species
AUAUGACUGAUUUUUGAAUUCCCUGUUAAGUAAAUCACAUUCUCCUUUUCACUACAGUUGGUUUCUAGAGAUUUACUUUGUUCUUUUAUUUGGAACACAUUACCUUGUUUCUUAAUUUUUUUUUUGAUUUUCUGGGUUGGUGUCUGCACAUUAGAUAAGACAACCACCUCUCCCAGAAUGAAAUAUGAUCCCAAAUCAACUUAGGGUAAGCCUGGAUAAAGUUGAUUUAUUCUGACAUCCUGGGUGAAGCUAAAAAGAAUCUUCUCCUGGAGGAAAGCCACAUUUCCCAAGAAUUUUAACUUUUCUUUAAAAAAAAAAUCUCACAAGGCAUAAAAUUCAUUAAAAAUUCACAAGGCAUACCAAGAGAUAGAAACAAGCGGAAAAGCAGACAACAGAAACAGUCACAUAGCUGAUCCAGGCAUUAAAAUUAUAUUGACUGUAUUUUAAAAUAACUGACUAUUAUGUUCAAUAAAGAGAUAAAAAGAGAGAGAAAAAUGGUGAAGAGGCGGCAAGAUUAACUUGCAGCUCCUACUUGGACAGGCAGAGCAGCAUGUGGAGACUCAAAUUAUGAAAUUUUUUUCCCAGAACUACCACAGAAACAUACCAGGAAAGCUGAGAGAAUCCACAGAUCCUUUGAAGGAAGUGGCUUGCUGUUGCAGGCUCCUUGAGACAGCCAAAAACUGAGACUGGCUUCAUUGAUUAUAAAAUGAUCUACAGGAGCCUCUGUUCUUGAAAGGAAGGGGAGAAGAGAGGAGAGAGAAGGAAGGGGAGAGAAGAGAGGAAGGGAGGAACUGGACAAGAGCUGUUUGAAGGAGUCCAGGACCUCCAGUACAAUUUUCAGGAGAAGUGGCAAGAAUGGACAUCCACCUCCCACCAUGUGAUGACAUGGUAAGAAGGCCCUUGCCAGAUGCUGGCACAUUGAUACCAAACUUCCCAACCUCCAGAACUGUGAGCCAAUAUAUUUCUAGUCAUUAUAAAUUACCUAGUCUGCAGUUUUGUUAUAGCAGCACAGAACAAAGAAAUACAGAUCCUCCCUGACUUAAUGUUGAGGUUAUGUUCUAAUAAACUCAUUUUAACUUGAAAAUAUUUUAAGUUCAAAAUGCAUUUAAUAGAUCUAAACUACAGAACAUCAUAGCUUAGCCUAUCUUAAACAUGCUCAGAACACUUACAUUAGCCUACAGUUGGGCAAAAUCAUCUAACAUCAAGCCUAUUUUCUAAUAAAUCUUAAAUAAUUUUUAAAUAUUUCGUGUAAUUUAUUGAAUACUGUACUGAAAGUGAAAAACAGAAUGGUUGUGUAGGUUCUCACCAUUAAUUUACAGAGUUGAAAGUCCACUGGACUUGAAGCUUGAGACAUUAAACUAAAAUCUAUUGCUGGGUGAUAAGGAUGCUACAACAACUGGGUUAUCAAUUUCUUUCUCUUCUGAUGAAACUUCAGAAUAGUUGGUAGAAGGCACUGAGACACUGACAUAUUGAUUUAGCAGGCAUAGUGUUCUUCAGAAAGACAUCGAGUAUUGGUUAUUUAUCCUCAUGUUACAUAUUUUACAUCAUUUGUUACUUCUCCCAUAUUUCUGAUUAUUUUAAAAAUUUUUGUCAAAAAGAAAUGAUCAUCAGAUUUGAGAAGAUCUAUCUGCCCUUAAGUUCACUAACAUUUACCAUCUAUACUUUGUUAAGAUCAUACUGUAAACAUUUUUAUUCAUUUAUUAUACUUUUCAGUUCUAGCAUUUUCAAUUUUUGUUUUUUCACAGUUAACAUUUCUCUUUUGAAAUUUCCUCUCUGUUGACUCAUUAAAACCAUUUUUUUCCAUAUUUGGCCUGGUUUGGUUUUUCUGUUGCUCUGACAUUGUGGAGAAAUUGUUCCCAGGAAGAUAAUGUCAUCUCUGAAUAACGAUAUAUAGUCAAUUUUCAUGCUGCUGAUAAAGACACACCUGAAACUGGGUAAUCUAUCAAGAAAAAGAGGUUUAAUGGACUCACAGUUCCACAUGGCUGGGGCUGCCUCACAGUCAUGGCAGAAGGCAAUAGGCAAGUCUUACGUGGCGGCAGACAAGAGAAAAUGAGACCCAAGCGAAAGGGGAAACCCAUAAUAAAACCAUCAGAUCUUGUGAGACUUAAUUACUACCAUGAGAACAGUAUGGGAGAAACCACCCCCAUAAUUCGAUUAUCUCCCACCAGGUCUCUCCUACAACAUGUGGGAAUUUUGC